CGGAGACGCUGAAGUGGGACUUCAGGAUCCUGAUCGAGACGGUUUGCAGCACGACGCCCGCGGCGACGAUCAUCGUGUCAGGACCACUGCCCACGUAUCGACGAGGACACGAAAGCUUCAGUAGACUUUUUGCUCUAAAUGAAUGGUUAUUGUCAUGGUGUAAAGAACAGAAACUGCUCUUUGUUAAUAAUUGGAAUCUUUUCUGGGAGCGUCCUAGGCUUUUUCGCGCUGAUGGCCGGCACCCCAGCAGAGUCGGAGCAGAACUCCUGUCGGACAACAUCUCCAGGACUCUACGCUCCAUUUGACUACUCCAGUCUGGAUCCAGAACACCUGAGAAGAGAUGAUGCCAACCCCUCAGAGGACCUCAGAUGAUGCUAACCCAGAGACAACAUACAGAACUACCACAUUUUGCUACAAGUUUGAUUGCAUAAUUGCUGUUAAUAGUGUUAAUCUUCUGUUUGUUUACGUCUUUUAUUGAUUUUUCUGAACAUUUCUGACAUAUGCACAUGAACUGACAGUCACCACUGAUAAGCUGCUACUAAAUAUUGUAGAAACUUAAUUUUCUGUAAAGUUGCUUUGUAAUGAUUUGUAUCGUAAAAAGCGCUAUACAAAUAAACUUGAAUUGAAUUGAAUUGAAUUUCUGUCUAUAUGUGUUUUGGUUGUUUUUGUUCUCAGUGGGUUCUCCAGAGACCCCGAACAGCUUAAGUGUGACUUUUUUUUUCACACCAACAUAAAACUAGAUAUUAUUCAAAUUUUUAUUUAUUUUUUUUAAUUGUAGAACUAGAAAGUGUUCACAGCUUUAUAAGGUUUCGUGCCAUUUAGAUUGAGAGAACAUUUUUUUUUAAUUCAGCAAAUGUCCAGAACAGUGCCAGUGGAGUUAAACCACUGUUUAUUUGCAUCUUUGUUCUUUGUUACAUUGUGAUUAUUAUUAAACUAAUUAUUACUAAGAAAAGAACUGGAGGAGAAAAUGUGGAUUUCCUUUGGAAUCUUCAGAAAACUUUAAGGCCACGUGUACACCAAAGCAUUUGUAGCCAGCUGAAAAUACCAGGCAGCAGGGCCGGUUCUUGACAGCUAUAGAAGGGUGGGUUGGCAGAUAUCCUGGGUGGGCAUUUUUUCCUGUUGUGGGCUUGGUGUAUUGCAGGGGUGAAAAAAUUAUACUGUAGAUAUUGCUAUAUUAACUACAUUAACUAUAGGCUGUUAUAUGUACACUGAAAAAAAAAAAUAAAGAUUUCAUGGGCAGCCUAGAAUAUCAUGCACUUUCACAACAAAAUAAACUUUUUUUUUUCUUUAUUGAAUAAUAAUAAUAACAAUAAUAAUAAUAACCUUUUUGUUCUCUUUCUCUGUAUCAGUUUCUACACUGGUGAUUUUUUACAACUAACUUUUUUAUUUAUACCAAACAAAGCCAUAU
ensembl:lncRNA